rnacentral:rRNA from 1 species
GACGAACGCUGGCGGCGCGCUUAACACAUGCAAGUCGAACGGAAAGGCCUGCUUUCCCUUGUGGAUUGCGGGUACUCGAGUGGCGAACGGGUGAGUAACACGUGAGUGAUCUGCCCCCAACUCGGGUAUAAGCCUGGGAAACUGGGUCUAAUUCCCGACAGGACUGCAGGGGGGUGCCUGUGGUGGAAAACGAUUUUCUAGUGGUCGGGGCUGAGCUCGCGGCCUAUCAGCUUGUUGGUGGGGUAAUGGCCUACCAGGAGGGGGACGGGUAGGCGGCCUGGGAGGGUGGGCGGCCACAUUGGGACUGAGAUACGGCGAAGACUACUACGGGCGGAAGCAGUGGGGAGUAUGGCACAAUGGGCGGAAGCCUGAGGCAGCAACGCCGCGUGGGGAAUGACGGCCGUCGGGUUAUAAACUCCUUUCGACAGCGAGGAAUCCACCUGGAUGGAGGGGUAGUGACGGUAGUGGUAGAAGAAGCACCGGCUAACUACGUG